GCUUGCGGCAGUCUCCAAAUUGGUGAUUUUGCUCGAGGAAGAACGUCUUUGACCUGCAAACACUCUUGCAUUUGUGCAAAUGAGGACCAGGAAAAACCUGCAUGGGAGAAAGACUUGUUUAAAGGCUCUCAGCUAGACCAAUUUUGGGUUGUUAACAAGUAUCUGCCCGGGUCCUGUUGGCGUCGCCAUCAUCUUCUGAUGUCCGAUUUAAGGGAAUUACCAAGCCAAAUUAACCUAAACUGAUGGCUUCAUGUCUUUAUUUGGUCUUAAUAUGUGUUACAUUCAAAGAGAUUGUAUUUACAUAUAAUUUACAUUUGUUUUGUUUGAAACUUAAUAUGGUGUGUGGCUUCUGAAAGAUGUUCAGUUUUCAGAUCAGUCUAGAAAACUAGACUGAAUGGUCUUGUUUCAA